rnacentral:rRNA from 1 species
AUGGCGUCCCGUACAAAGCUAUCUGGUAUCCAGAGGCAGGCCUUGGCAUUAUACAGAGGGUUCCUUCGGACAGCACGGCUCAAGUCCCCAGAGGAGCGCCGCAGGAUCGAGUCCGUUGUCUCCGCAGAGUUCCGUGAGAAUGCCAGGAGUGUCGAUCGCAGGAACUUUGUGUACAUUGAGUAUUUGAUGAGAAGAGGGAAGCGGCAGCUCGAUCAGCUCAAGAAUCCUGAUAUCACUGGACUUUCUACACUUGAAAUAAAUAAGGCCUCUUCUAUUCCAGAACAACGUGUCGAGCAUGAUCUUGGUGUUUCUACUGGGAGACAAUAA